CUUUAUACAAGCGCAUGUUUGGGACAGCGAAGUGACUUAGCUCUGAUGAAAUACGGAGGUCUAAAGUGGAAGGAGCUGCCAGAAAAUCCCAUUAUGCAGAUCAUCUGAAGGAUUCUUGCGGCCUUUGCUUUGAGAAAUUCAAACAUCUCCAUUGCUUGGAACAAGGCUCUGAUAUUGGGCAUGUCAUAUCUUUUCAGGUAAGAGAAAUGU
rnacentral:lncRNA from 1 species